UCUGUUCCUCUCUGUGCACCAGGUGCCUGAGCUUAAACCUGGAAGAACCAUCUACCUCCAUUUUCACCCCUUCACCUGUUAAGGUAGGAAGUUGGGCUCAGCAAACCCUCCCAGCACCAUGGGGGCUGCAAACUCUCUGGCUGAGAAUGUCCAGCUGGUGGUCAGCCCCUCUCCUGUGUGGAAUUUUCUCCCCUACCCCCUUUCAACACCCACUUCUAGCACCUUCUGAAACCAGUCAUACUCUUAAACUAAGGCACUUGGCCCCCAAGAAUUUCCAGCUCCCUGAAGCUCAUCCGCUCCCCCAGGCAGGAGUCUCAGGUUUUCCUCUGGCUAGCACGGCCCACCUCCCCAGGGUCUUUUGUAACUUUUGCACAGCCUAUCCCUUGCUCUCCAUACAAACUUCCAUACCCUCUCUGGGACCUUGUUUUUUCUGCUCCUUGUUGCCCAGGGCACUCCAUCUCUGAUGGUUGAAAUGCCGCUCAGUCCAAAUCCGUCCUCCACUGAGCUUUUCCCAUUGGCUCCAGCUGGAACAGUAUAUGUAUUUUUAAACUUUCAAAUCUCUCUCUUUUUUGUUCUUCUGAUUUUGCGUAUUUCAGUUAUGCUUUAGCACCUUAAGGAAAACAUCUCACCCCCACAAUGACUAAGCAGCUGAGAAAAUGGAAAGAACACGGCUUCUCUCUAUACCUCUGUGCUCUCAUCUGGAAAAUGGAGAUAAACAUGAGAGCUCUUUUAUUUGGAGAUCUAAGCCACACAAAACCAGAAGAAGAGGAUGGCUGGCCCACUGGGGCACAGGGCCCGGCACAGAGGCCUUCAGACAGCAGGGCUGUGUUUCUUACCGCCUCCUCCUGCUCCAGGCCCUCCCCGAGGCCAAGGUCUGUGGGACCCGUGGGAGAGGCUGGUGGGGUGGGAAUGUCUGCAUCCCAGACAUAGAUGAGGCUGCGGCUCUGGAUUUCUUAGAGGGCGGUGGUUUCCCCUGCAUCCUUUCGUGCCUUAGGUUUUGAAAGGGAGGCUUACGCUGCACUCAAGUUUCCUGCAACUGCAGUUUAACUCAGCGCAGGGUGACAGCUUGGAAGAGUGAGACCCUGGGCUGGCAUGGAGGGUGAAUCGAGGGCCUUGAUUCUAACAUGAGGAAUGUAAUGAAGAGGUACCAAGAACUGAGAUAUGGGGUCUAGCUUGGCAUCCUAGCUCUGCUCCUCACGGGCUCUGGGAUGUUUCCUCUCUGAACCUCUUUUCUGUGUCUGAAAAGUGAAGGGUGAUGGUUUCUCCUGGGGAGGGGUGGAGACAGGGUUUCCUGUCAGGUAAGCUUGGGGAGCUGGGUUUUGUCUUUUACCGCACUGAAGUCCUGUGUCUAGAACAGUGCCUGGCCUGUGGUAAGCACACAACAAAUGCCUAUUAGUGGAAGGCAAUACAGGCAUGCCUGGUUUUAUUAUGGUUUGCAGAUACUGCUUUUUUUUUACAAAUUGAAGAUUUGUGGCAACUUUGCAUUUUCAGGUUUGGCAAUUUUUUAGCACUACAGUUUUAAUUUUUUUUCUAAUUGUGAUAAAAGUCACAUAAUAUAAAACCUGCUAUUUUAGCCGUAUUUAAAUGUGCAGUUCAGAGUACUAAGUACAGUCACAUUUUUGUACAACUCUCAUCAUCCAUAGCAGUAAAGCGUGUUUCAAUCAAGUCACCUACAUUUUUAAAUAUAAUUUUAUUUCUCUAUUUUUGGCUGUACUGGAUCUGCAUUACUGUGCGAGCUUUCUCUAGUUACAGAGAGCAGGGCUCCUCUUGGUUGAGGUGCGCGGGCUUCUCACCGCGGUGGCUUCUCACAGGCUCCAGGUGCACAGGCUUCAGCAGUGGCAGUUCACUGACUCAGUUGUUCCGAGGCAGGUGGAGUCUUCCUGGACCAGGAAUCAAACGUGGUCCCCUGCAUUAGCAGGUGGAUUCUUAUCCAUUGUGCUCCCAGGGAAGUCCUGUGCUUUGUUUUUUAAACAUACAGCUACUGAACAAUUAAUACACUAC
rnacentral:lncRNA from 1 species